rnacentral:rRNA from 1 species
CAGUAGCCGCGGUAAAACAGAGGGUGCAAGCGUUAAUCGGAAUUACUGGGCGUAAAGCGCGCGUAGGUGGUUUGUUAAGUUGGAUGUGAAAGCCCCGGGCUCAACCUGGGAACUGCAUCCAAAACUGGCAAGCUAGAGUACGGUAGAGGGUGGUGGAAUUUCCUGUGUAGCGGUGAAAUGCGUAGAUAUAGGAAGGAACACCAGUGGCGAAGGCGACCACCUGGACUGAUACUGACACUGAGGUGCGAAAGCGUGGGGAGCAAACAGGAUUAGAGACCCGCGUAGUCCCUGUCUCUUAUAA